rnacentral:rRNA from 1 species
UACAGAGGUCUCAAGCGUUUGUUCGGAUUCAUUGGGCGUAAAGGGUGCGUAGGCGGCGCGGUAAGUCGGGUGUGAAAUUUCGAGGCUUAACUUCGGAACUGCAUUCGAUACUGCCGUGCUUGAGGACUGGAGAGGAGACUGGAAUUUACGGUGUAGCGGUGAAAUGCGUAGAUAUCGUAAGGAACACCAGUGGCGAAGGCGGCCUUCUGGCUCAUAACUGACGCUGUAGCGCGAAAGCGUGGGGAGCGAACCGG